rnacentral:rRNA from 1 species
UACGGAAGGGGCUAGCGUUGUUCGGAAUUACUGGGCGUAAAGAGCGCGUAGGCGGCGUACCGAGUUGGGGGUGAAAUCCCGGAGCACAACUCCGGAACUGCCUUCAAAACUGGUAGGCUCGAGUCCGGAAGAGCAGCGUGGAAUUCCCAGUGUAGAGGUGAAAUUCGUGGAUAUUGGGAAGAUCACCGGUGGAGCAGGCGGCGCCCUGGUCCGCUACUGACGCUGAGGCGCGAAAGCGUGGCGAGCAAACAGG